CAACAGCCCCUGGUGAUGCUGAAGUGCUGCCACAGAUGGACAGUGAAGUCUGCUCCCUUCCAAAAGCACUGAUGUAAUAUUUAAUUCCCAGCAGAUCUUGCUGAAGCACAAAGGACAGUGAAGCAGCUGACAUGAACCUGCCUCCAUGGGCUCUCUGCUGACUGCCUACAAUGUUCUCAUGAUAGAAAACCUGGACUGGAGUUACUGGUCAGGACUUCCAGCUUGCUUUCCAA
rnacentral:lncRNA from 12 species